GGGGUCUUCCGGAGCCUCCGGUCGCGGGUCUAAGAGGACUAGGGCGGGAGCGGCGCGGAAGAAAGAGAGGACUGCGUUUUGGGGCGUUCUGUCAGAGGGGAAGGACGUGUGGAUUGGAGUCAGACUGCACUCCCGCCCUAUUUCUGCAAGUAGAACUCACUGCCUUUAGAAACGGUCUUCUGAGGCUCUGUUGGGAGGCUCUAACUGUAUUACAGAGGACACAUUUUUGUUUGUUUUUAUGUGAAACAUUCAGAAGUUGCUUGCAUCAAGUGCUUUACAAGUACACUGGUUUUCAAACUUUUAAAGUUGAGGAACUGUUUUGAUUUUUGUAAAAAUAGAACUUUACUUGGAAGCCCAAGGUCGCUUAGAAACUAGUACUCUCAGAACAUGGAGUGGAAGAGGUGAUCAUGGUAGCAACAGACUGAGGAGUGAAUUUGAACUUGAGUUUUGUCUUGCUGUUUUUCAUUGAUGGAACCCAACUGGAAAUCAGAAUACAAGGGCACUCGAUUAAUUCAGUUCACAGAGGACUUCUUCCUGUGGCACGGAGCAUGGUGGGGAAAGGUGGUCUUAAUAUGCUGUUGCUGAAAGAAUGAAUUUCUUCUAGGUGUGCAUGAAACUGAGUAGGGCUGAAGAUCACCGAAGAAUGCAGACACAGAAAGGGUGAAUCCUGGAUGGUCUGGAUUUAGAACAUUCAAAUAAAAUCUUAUGGUGAUUGAGAUUGAUUUACCUAAACGAUCAUCUAAAGAACUAUGAAAUAAACCUAUAGUGACUUUUUUUUAGCAUUUUGGAGGCCCCAAUCUUUCUUUAAUGAGAACUACCAUUCUAAGGACACUGGAUAUUCUUCUGAUUGUAAAAUCAUUUUGCUAUGGGCAGAACACACAUCUGUGUAAUUUUUAAAUUCUAAGAUAAGUACUCAAUUUUCUUAUUUUAACAAAGAUUCAGAAUGUGUCUCUUUAACCAAAAAGAGUUAUAUCAUAAAAUCUUUUAAAAAUGUAUGCUUUUACAUUGGUUUUGUC
rnacentral:lncRNA from 1 species